UACGUAGGUGACGAGCGUUGUUCGGAUUCAUUGGGCGUAAAGGGUCCGCAGGUGGUUUGGUAAGUCUGAUGUGAAAUCCCCGAGCUCAACUCGGGAACUGCAUUGGAAACUGUUGAACUAGAGUUUCGGAGAGGAGAUUGGAAUUCCAGGUGAAGCGGUGGAAUGCGUAGAUAUCUGGAAGAACACCGAAAGCGCAGGCAGAUCUCUGGACGGAUACUGACACUCAGGGACGAAAGCAUGGGUAGCAAAC
rnacentral:rRNA from 1 species